rnacentral:rRNA from 1 species
GGAAAUCUCACCAGGCCCGGACACUGGAAGGAUUGACAUAUUGAUAGCUCUUUCUUGAUUCGGUGGGUGGUGGUGCAUGGCCGUUCUUAGUUGGUGGAGUGAUUUGUCUGGUUAAUUCCGAUAACGAACGAGACUCUGUCCUGCUAAAUAGUGUCAGCCUCUCUUCUGGGCUGACAAUUCUUCUUAGAGGGACUGGCGGCUCCUAGCCGCACGAGAUAGAGCAAUAA